GCGGGUACAGCUCAGCAGUGGAGUGUGUGCUUAGCAUGCACGAGAUCCUGGGUUCAAUCCCAGUACUUCCA
rnacentral:tRNA from 1 species